rnacentral:tRNA from 1 species
CUGGUUGUAAUUCAGUGGUAGAUUGCUUGACUAGCAUUCAAAAGGCCCUGGGUUCAAUACCCAGUACCAGA